rnacentral:tRNA from 1 species
CAUCAAGAAGCUUAUAAAGCAUUAGCCUUUUAAGCUAAAGAAGAAACCAGACUUUCCUUGAUGA